GGAAUUGACGGGGAGCACCACAACGGGUGGAGCUUGCGGUUUAAUUGGAUUCAACGCCGGAAAUCUUACCGGGACCGACAGCAAUAUGAAGGCCAGGCUGAAGACUUUGCCGGAUUAGCUGAGAGGUGGUGCAUGGCCGUCGUCAGUUCGUACUGUGAAGCAUCCUGUUAAGUCAGGCAACGAGCGAGACCCACGCCCACAGUUGCCAGCGUACUCUCUGGAGUGACGGGUACACUGUGGGGACCGCCGCUGCUAAAGCGGAGGAAGGAAUGGGCAACGGUAGGUCAGUAUGCCCCGAAUCUCCCGGGCUACACGCGGGCUACAAUGGUUGGUACAAUGGGCAUCUACCCCGAAAGGGGAAGGAAAUCUCUUAAAGCCAAUCGUAGUUCGGAUUGAGGGCUGCAACUCGCCCUCAUGAAGCUGGAAUCUGUAGUAAUCGUGUCUCAAAAUGGCACGGUGAAUAUGUCCCUGCUCCUU
rnacentral:rRNA from 1 species